rnacentral:lncRNA from 1 species
GGCCACAGCGAGAAGGAGGAGGAGAAGGAGGAGGAGGAGGAGGAGUGGGCUUCGGGACUCCCCUAAGGGUCACCUUUCCUAAUGAUAUGGUUAUUGUGAGCGCAUGCACACGACACAGCCCACUCCCUGCACUGAGCCUUGGCCAGAGUCACGCAGGAAAAGACGCAAACUAAGGUAGCAGCCCAGGCCGUUCUGCUAGUUACUGCCGGUGGAACCUCGAGAGCCUUCAGUGUGCGUGGACUUUGCUUGGAAAACGAAAGAUUGGGCAGGGACGAGACAAAGACAGUUUGCUUCCCUGAGAAGGGAGCAGGCCCCUAGGGAAGAGAGAGCUGCCCAGUUAGGAAAUCAGAUUCUUGUUACUUUGAAAGAGAGAGUGAGGCUGACAACUUUGUGCAAUUCUGCCUCACUUGACAUCACUGGUGAUAACAUUUUGGUCUUCUUCUUGAGUACAAAGCACAACCACCAACCAGUUAAGACAGCAACCCUGAGAUGGAUACAUUUAGCCUUAAAGACAACUGCGAGUUUGAGGGAUGGGCCAAUCAGGGUCCCUCAAUUCCUCAAUUGGAACUCACUGGCAUCUGGGGUAUCUGAGAAGAAGAAGGAAGAGGAGGAGGAAGAAGAAGAAGAAAUAAUGAGGAGGAGGAGGAGGAGGAGGAGGAAGAGAAUCUCCUUAAGGAAGAAGUCCAAUAUCAAGUUGAUGAUAAAAUGCUGAUUCAGUAGUUCUAUAACAUUUUUCAUAUUUUGCUGCUUUAAGUCUCAUUUUCUCAGGAGAAUAUAGUAAUAACUUAAUAUUGCUUAUUUUAAAUCAUUAUCAAUGUGCUCUUUUGAAUCUAGAAGCAAGUGCAGUGGACAAGAGUAUCAGGCCUGGAGUCAGAAAGACCUUAGUUCAAAUUUGACCUCAGACACUUACUAGCUGUGUGACCCUGGUCAAGUCACAACUCUGACUUAGUUUCCUCAUCUGUAAAAUGGAGAUAAUAAUAGCAUCUCCCUCUCAGGGUUGUGAAGAACAAAUGAAAUUAUAAUAAUAAAAUUACUUAGCAUAGUGCUUGGCA